CUACGGGUUGCUGCAGUGGGGGAUAUUGCACAAUGGGGGAAACCCUGAUGCAGCAACGCCGCGUGAAGGAAGACGGUUUUCGGAUUGUAAACUUCUAUCAGCAGGGAAGAAAUUGACGGUACCUGACUAAGAAGCCCCGGCUAACUACGUGCCAGCAGCCGCGGUAAUACGUAGGGGGCAAGCGUUAUCCGGAUUUACUGGGUGUAAAGGGUGCGUAGGCGGUUAUUUAAGUCAGAUGUGAAAGCCCGAGGCUCAACCUCGGGACUGCAUUUGAAACUGGAUAACUAGAGUACAGGAGAGGAAAGCGGAAUUCCUAGUGUAGCGGUGAAAUGCGUAGAUAUUAGGAAGAACACCAGUGGCGAAGGCGGCUUUCUGGACUGUAACUGACGCUGAGGCACGAAAGCGUGGGGAGCGAACAGGAUUAGAUACCCCGGUAGUC
rnacentral:rRNA from 1 species